GAGCUCCGAACGCCAAAUCUGGUUUAAACCGGUUUCUAUCUUAUAUUUCAAUAUAAAAACUAAAUAAACAUUGGGCCGUUAUUGUAUUGAAGCUUUGUGUGGAGAGCAGCGCGGUGCAGAGCCUUGCCGAGGAAAAACAACAAACCUACAUUUCCCUCUUUUUUUACACGGUUUUUCAAGCGCCAAGAUGCCCAAAAGAAAGGCUGACGGAGAGAAGGCUGCCAAAGGCAAGGAGGAGCCAACUAGACGCUCCGCAAGGCUGUCUGCUAGACCAGCCCCUCCUAAACCCGCCCCAAAGCCGAAAAAAGCUGCCCCCAAGAAGGCAGCCAAAGGGAAGAAGGCCAACCCUGCUGAAAAUGGAGACGCCAAGGCAGACCAGGUAUCCUGAAGACACCUGGCUACACUGCAGACUUUACAGCAUAAAUGCGCAAAAGGUUGAAGCUGCAGCAGACGCCAAAUGAGAAGCGAUUGAAUUGUUUAAUUCUUCUGUGUACUUGGUGACUGUACAGUUUGAAAUAACUAUUUUUUACCAAGUUUUAUAUUAAGAAUAUCGUUUAUAGUUUAAUUGUUGUUUGCUUUCAUAUCCAUUUAUGCCCCAUCAUUAAUGAAGCCGCCCACCUUGCCAAAAUGGCUGAAUUGGUUUUUACACCCAUGAAUGUUUUGGUAUUUUAUUACAUUUUGGGUUUUUAAAAUAUAUUUUAAACACCAAACAUUCUCAUAAGGCAGCUAUAGUGUGUUUUUAAAAUGGUAUGGGAAAGAGUUUUUUCCAUUUUUUUUUCUUUUUU
rnacentral:lncRNA from 1 species